GACGAACGCUGGCGGCGUGCUUAACACAUGCAAGUCGAACGCUGAAGCCCUUCGGGGUGGAUGAGUGGCGAACGGGUGAGUAACACGUGGGUAAUCUGCCCUGCACUCUGGGAUAAGCCUUGGAAACGGGGUCUAAUACCGGAUAGGACACAUCGCCGCAUGGUGUGUGUGUGGAAAGUUCCGGCGGUGCAGGUUGAGCCCGCGGCCUAUCAGCUUGUUGGGGGGGUGAUGGCCUACCAAGGCGACGGCGGGUAGCCGGCCUGAGAGGGUGACCGGCCACACUGGGACUGGGACACGGCCCAGACUCCUAGGGGAGGCAGCAGUGGGGAAUCUUGCGCAAUGGGCGAAAGCCUGACGCAGCAACGCCGCGUGGGGGAUGACGGCCUUCGGGUUGUAAACCUCUUUCGACCGGGACGAAGGAUUCGUUUGACGGUACCGGUAGAAGAAGCACCGGCUAACUACGUGCCAGCAGCCGCCGUAAAAC
rnacentral:rRNA from 1 species